rnacentral:rRNA from 1 species
ACUCCUACGGGAGGCAGCAGUGGGGAAUAUUGCACAAUGGGCGCAAGCCUGAUGCAGCCAUGCCGCGUGUAUGAAGAAGGCCUUCGGGUUGUAAAGUACUUUCAGCGGGGAGGAAGGUGAUGAGGUUAAUAGCCUUGUCAAUUGACGUUACCCGCAGAAGAAGCACCGGCUAACUCCGUGCCAGCAGCCGCGGUAAUACGGAGGGUGCAAGCGU